GCGGCGUGCCUAAUACAUGCAAGUCGAACGUUUCUUUUUCCACCGGAGCUUGCUCCACCGGAAAAAGAAGAGUGGCGAACGGGUGAGUAACACGUGGGUAACCUGCCCAUCAGAAGGGGAUAACACUUGGAAACAGGUGCUAAUACCGUAUAACAAUCAAAACCGCAUGGUUUUGAUUUGAAAGGCGCUUUCGGGUGUCGCUGAUGGAUGGACCCGCGGUGCAUUAGCUAGUUGGUGAGGUAACGGCUCACCAAGGCCACGAUGCAUAGCCGACCUGAGAGGGUGAUCGGCCACAUUGGGACUGAGACACGGCCCAAACUCCUACGGGAGGCAGCAGUAGGGAAUCUUCGGCAAUGGACGAAAGUCUGACCGAGCAACGCCGCGUGAGUGAAGAAGGUUUUCGGAUCGUAAAACUCUGUUGUUAGAGAAGAACAAGGAUGAGAGUAACUGUUCAUCCCUUGACGGUAUCUAACCAGAAAGCCACGGCUAACUACGUGCCAGCAGCCGCGGUAAUACGUAGGUGGCAAGCGUUGUCCGGAUUUAUUGGGCGUAAAGCGAGCGCAGGCGGUUUCUUAAGUCUGAUGUGAAAGCCCCCGGCUCAACCGGGGAGGGUCAUUGGAAACUGGGAGACUUGAGUGCAGAAGAGGAGAGUGGAAUUCCAUGUGUAGCGGUGAAAUGCGUAGAUAUAUGGAGGAACACCAGUGGCGAAGGCGGCUCUCUGGUCUGUAACUGACGCUGAGGCUCGAAAGCGUGGGGAGCAAACAGGAUUAGAUACCCUGGUAGUCCACGCCGUAAACGAUGAGUGCUAAGUGUUGGAGGGUUUCCGCCCUUCAGUGCUGCAGCUAACGCAUUAAGCACUCCGCCUGGGGAGUACGACCGCAAGGUUGAAACUCAAAGGAAUUGACGGGGGCCCGCACAAGCGGUGGAGCAUGUGGUUUAAUUCGAAGCAACGCGAANAA
rnacentral:rRNA from 1 species